GCGCCCUAAAAAUUCCAGCCACCGCCGCCUCUGCGAUUCCCCAAUCCCCACUUCCCCAUCUCCUCCAUCCCCCAAAUCCUAAAUUCCAGUCGUCGCACCAGCCGCGGAACCCUAGCUCCGGUGCUACUGCCAGAUCAGGACACCUCCUCCGGCGGAAUCGGCGGCGGCUCCUUCCCGGCGCCACACCUCGGAGGCUUGCGCUGCUCGGCGCGCCCCCCGUCGCGUCCUUCCUCCGGCUACGCCUUCAGGAUUCGCGCCGCUCUGGUCCGAGGGCUUUGAACCGUCCUCUUACCUCUGUGCACAUGUCUUAUCCGUUCAUGUGCAAAGCAGGACGAUUACGCCAUCAACGAGUGCCGGACACGGACUCUUCCACCCUCCUUUGCCAGUGUUGUGUCAUGCUCGACCAUGCCAUCAACUUGUGCCAGACACGGACUCCCUCCUUUGCCACAUAAUAGGCAUCAAUCGCUCUAUGGAAGCAUCCAAUCUCGCUGCUCUACCAACUUCGCCGGAACACUGACCACCGGUGCUCCACCUCAGAGUUUGCGAAGAAAAAGGGGAAACCUAUAAUGAUGAGUGAUGACUAUGGUAUUAUAUCCAUCUAAUUACCAGAAUUAAAUAGGCGUGUAGUAUAGAGAGGGACAUAUCAAGUUUACUAUGAACUCAAACAGGACAGGUUUGACAAACAACACACUUCAGGCUCUUUAAUUGAUUAUUAUUUUAGGGAGCAAAGAUGCACACCUGCCUUUCUUGCGCUGUGCUGGGUGUAUAUAAUUUCAUUCUGAUCACCUUGUGGGUUGGUGUGCUAGAUUGCCGCCCUAACAUUUUGCCGAUUAUAUCUAAUCAGUAUACACUAUAUAUGUUUCUGUGUUAUGCUAAUGGAUUGGAAUGAACAUAAAUUAACCAAGUAUAUUUACAUGGCCUUAUACUAUGCUUUUCGGUUAGGUUGUUUUCAACUGGAGACAAAUCAGUGUUCUUGUCAUCCAUGGAAGAAGCGGUCAACCUUAUUACUAACUAACAUGUAAACAGUUGUGUUGCCUUCCUAGUCCUAUCAUGGAUUUUAAGCAUACUACUAACGACAUGUUGGCGAGUGUGGCAGGUUUUACCUAAUUCAAAACAUGGACAGUACUGAAAUUCUAGCCUUCACGUAGCCAGUAUACCCCAUCUAAAUUUCUGAAGUUUAUGGACAGUACAACUAAAUUUAGCAGCUGUUGCUAGUGAAACACAAUUGGGUAGAGCAAAUUAAUUGCUGUUGUACUGAAACAGUAGGUUCAAUUGGUUUUUGUGCAGCAGGAGGGCAGAAAUUAUAUUACCUCCGUACUAAAUACUUAUCUUAGAUUUGUCUAGAUACGGAUGAUGUGCUAUUCCUGGGUUAUUAUAAUUCUUGAUCAUGGGCUGGCUGCUGUUGCUUCUUCCAUCUCACCAAGGAAUCCAGGAACUCCAUUUCCUGCGUGGCAAUUUGGCCAGUGAAACGGCCAGAUCGGUGAGCAACUGACCGAGCAAAAUCGACAGGUGUGUACAUCUGUAUCUAGAAAAAUCUAAGACAAGUAAUUCGGGACGGAGGGAGUGUAUGGUACAUGCCAACCUGGUCAUUUUAUGUGAUUUAUUGGACGACAUUAUGUAUUUGGUUGUCAAAUAGUUCUGUAUCAGCAGACCCCUCUGUGGGUUCUGCAGGUGUAUUGCUAAUAGGUGUAUGGCUGGAUGAUUUUGAUAGAUGAUGUAUUUGUGGGGUCUGGUGCUCAUUAUAAUUGUGUGUUGGUAACAAGGAUAAAAGAGAAAUUCUCCUGAGUUGCGUUUAAUGUGUAUGACCCUACUCAGCAUGAGCUUAACAGUUAGUGUUUUUGUGCUACUUACCUUGCUUGCCAUAUGUUCAUAUGGCUUCUUUGUUAAAUGUACAAGGUAUACUUGCUGUGAUAUGUCUUAGCACUUCUAUAAGCUGACACAAGGUACCCCGAUCUAUGUUUUCAAGGCGUCGCCUAGGCGACGCUUAGGCGUCAGAGCGCUCGGGGACGUCAAGGCGUCGUCGUCGCCUUAGUUUUCUGUCUAAGGCGUCCGCCUUCUGCUGUUGAGGCGUCCAAGGCGUCGCCUAGGCGGAUAAGGCGCCGCUUUAGUUGAUUUUGGACGCCCUGGACAUGCGUGGGCAGGUUGAGCGGGAACCAGCAGCUGGCGCGCGCCAGAAAGAGGAAUUGGCGGGAGGGAAGAGAAAUUGGGCGGGAGAGAGGGGGGUAAACAGAGGCAGGAGAGAGAGGGGAACACACCCGUGACUCCAAAUCGAGGGGAAAAGAGAGAGGAGCUCUCUCCUCUCACGCCGCCGGCCCAGAUCCGCUACUCCUCCGCCGGCCUCCCCCUGUCCGGCCAAGCUCCUCCUCCACAGGCCCUUCCCCUCUCCGGCCAAGAUCCAUCUCCGCCGGUCCUCCCCCUCUCCAGCCAAGCUCCUCCGCCAUAUUAGUACCCCUACUGCCUAAUAAUAAGUGUCUAAGGCGUCGCCUCGCCUCGCGCUUUGAGCGCCUAGGCGUUGAGGCGCCCCCCCAGCGCCUUAAAGCGCCUGGGCGCCUUGAAAACAUAGACCCCGAUUGUAGUUAUAUUGAUUCAGUUUAACAACAAUGGUUGAUAUAGUGACAAAAUUCCAUUGUUGUAUAUAGCAUCAGGAUUUUAACAACUUAACACCUCUUUUCUCAACCAGAAUUUCAAAUCAUAGACGAUGGGUGUUGAACUGCUAGAAUAUUUAUGUCCUUGUUGCAAUGCAUAUGCAUACGUGCUAGUUUAUUCCAAAAGAGAAUCAUGCUUUUUUGAAGGAGACUAGCUUCUAUAGACUUGCAUAUGUUGUAACGUUUCCUUCUGCUACCUUGUCAAAGUGCAAAUUUUCAGUUUUUGUUUGUGCCAAUCCAUUUAUAAGCUGUUGUGCUACAGUUUCGAACGAACUACGAAAAAUGUUGUGGUAAUGAAUCCUUGUUAUUAUUUACUGAAUUUUAUGCCCUCCAUCGCGCAGUUCAAAGGUUGGCAGAUACUUACUAUUAUGCUUUGGUCUGUAUGUAGGUUGUUUUCUUAUUGCAGACCAUGCUUUAGAGACACACAAACCGCUACUGCUGCUUUUGCUUUGUGACAUUUUCAGAUCCACAGAUAGAUCUGCUGAUGGAUUUAAGUUUUCAUUCACCAACUUCAAAUACUCAAUUCCUCAGAGAUGAGGAUCUUUCUGCAGCUCAUGUGAGUUCACUCUAUAAGUAUGAUACAACCUGCAUGCAUAUUUGUUCGACACCUCAUCAUUAAUAUCUUCCUUCUGAAAUCGCAAACAUAGCUAUUUAUUUCAGUUACAAUUACUUCUAUAAGUUUUUGUCAAAGUUCAAAAGAUUUUUGUAUUUUUCCAUCAUGUAAUGCACGCCCUAGGGUGGAAUAGAGAUUGCCUUCUGGAGGAUGGUGAUAAGUUCCCUUGUAUUUACGUAUGAUAUUAUAGAGUACAGACAUGGGCCUAGACAUCUAGCCAAACCUACAUACGAUUUCUAAAAUGAUAUAAUUAUAACCGUAAACCUACAUCAGAAGAACCCACUACACGUGGACUAGUAGUGUAGUGAAGAGGAUGAGGAGGAAUCAUCGGAAAGCCUUAAGGGACAAGUGAGGUGAGGUAGCCCUAGGUAACAACCAAGGUGGUGUAGCGGGAAGACAGAGUGGGAUGGGUGGAAGAGGGCAAUACAUGAGUGAUAGGUGUAUCGAGGAAAUUGAGUAAAGAAAUAUCGUUAAUGUGGGAGGCCAAAGGAGGCGAUGGACCUGGAUAGAAAGGACGAGACUCAUGAAAAGUCACAUACCGAGAAAUGCGUAUCUGACUACCGAUAGGAUCCCAACACUAAUAGCCCUUGUGCUCAUCAUCACUAGACUCUAAGAAGACCCAUUCAGCAGGCUGAGCAGUCAGAUUGGGGUGUUCACAAAGGUAAGAAGAACGCUGCAAACGCAAUAGAACAAAAGAAGCGUCACAUGAUCGACCAAAAAGACGCUCGAGAGGAAUCUCACCCUGCGAGAGCAUCAAUCUUCGAUGCCAUCACACAAUGCCAUUUAGGAUGAAUAACAACGUCGGAAUAAGAAGUCGUCUCGGGUAAGAGCGACGCAAUAACAAUAUCGGUCAGUACGCAGAACCGGGUGAGCUUGGAAGCCAUAAGUAGUCGGAGCUAGAGGUAGUGCGUUGCCAAUAGAAGAAGACAUAGUAGCCGAGGAAGAUGGCUCAUGAGAAGAAUCCACAACACGCGGGCGAUCAGUUUAGCUAAUGACGGGGAGGGAAGUACCAUCCGUAGUAAGAACAUGAGCAACAAAAUCUAGAGGUGGAAUGGAGGGCGAAUUAGAAUUAUCUUAAGUUGUAUGAAAAGGCGCCUGAGUACCAAGGAUCCAUGGAGGUGUACCUGAUAUUGUAAAAAGAUAUUGUAAAAAGGUGGUCUCUCCGCACCACUAGAGGAAGUAGGAAAACUUGCAAAGCCUAUCGAUUGAAGAACCAAAAUAAGCAGCUAGCAAACACCUACGUCAUGUAAUCAAUCUCCAGCGUAGCCAUGGGCUCAACUGAAGAUGUCGAUGAAGAAGCAUCAUGUGAUGAAGAACCAAAAACGGUCUUUUAGAGGUGAUUGGGGAUCGUUACCUGUUUUUUCAUUUCUUAUUUUUAUACGUUUCUCUAUAUCUUUGUUUUGUUUUUCUUUUGGCUUCUUCCUGUUCGUUUUUUUCAUUCCUUAAAUCUUUUGAACAUUUCUCAAAUUUGUGAACAAAUUUCAAUUCGUGAACGUCCAUUAAAUCCGCAAACAUUUUCGAAAUUGCUAAAAAGGUGAUUUCCCAAACGUUCUUCAAAUUCAUGAAUAUAUUUUUAAUUUUUUUAACCUUUUCCUAUUCGUAAAUAUUUUUGAAUAUGUGAACAUUUUUCGUAUACAUGAACAGUUUUGGCAUUUGCCAAUCGAUUCUAGAAUCCGUGGACAUUUUUCGAAUUAGUCGCCAACAUUUUUCAAAUUCCUGGACAUUUUGAAUUUGUGAACAUCUUUGUGAAAACGUGUUUACAUUUUUUGAAUUAGUGAGCAUUUUCUUAGAACCUGCAAACGUUUUAUGAACUUGACGCAAACAUUUUAUGAAUUCAUGAACUUUUUUUGAAUAGAUGGAACAUUUUUCGAAUACGUGAACAUUUUUUAAAAUCCCUAAAUAUUUUUGAAUUCACGAACUUGUUUUGAAUACGUGAACAUUUUUUAAAUAGGAGAACAUUUUUGGUAUCCCCAAAUUUUUUUUGAAUCAGUGCACAUAUUUUGAUUUCGCCAUGAACAUUUUUUGAAUUCGUCAAUAUUUUUUGGAUUCACAAACUUAUAUUGAAUCUGUGAAUAUUUUUUGAUUUCGCAAAGACCUCUUUCAAAUUUGCCUUUCAUGUUAGUAGAUUCUGAAAAUAUGUUGUGAUGUAUAAAGAAUGACGUUCAACGUUAUGUUUAGUGUUUGGGUCAAAAUAGUAUUUGAAAGCAGGGGUUAAAAGUUUGCCAAAGAAGGAGACUAUAUCUCACCCGGUUUUGUUCAAAAGGGUAUCCCACUUUGUAGAAGAAUGCACCAACCAUUUUGGCAGUGGGUUGAACUCAUCUCAACAAUUUUGAUUAGGCCUCGUUCCCCUAAUACCUUAGUCAUCAUCUCCUUUCCUGUAUUUUUGUUAGUCUCACUCACAAACACAUUGAUCCGCGAGUGGGAAUGCCAGCAGCCAUGGCGACAUUGUCCGCUACAUGAGAAAAUGAAGGCUUUAGCGACAUUGUGUGAGAGGCAUGAAGGCUCUAGCGACAUCGUGUGAGAGGCAUCGGCGCUAGCGAGUUUGCCACCAUCCUAGCCACAAUGACAAUGCCGCAAAUUAUAUAGUGGAGGGUAGAGGUGCACUUGAACAGGGGCAAUGUACACUAUUUCUUCUUUCGGGUGAGUGGAAGCUAGGUAGAUAAGUCUCCCGACAAGAUGAAGGUAACACGUUGGAUCAGACAAAGUGUCACCAUCGGUAGGACGGAGGUGAACAUUGAGCUCCAUAGUAGUGGCAACAGUGCGCUCAUCAGUAAGAGCGACACGAGCAAGAAGAUGUUGGAUCACUUUUCUUGAGCAAGAAGAGACUAUAAUCCUAAGAAAGUAGCCAAGAGGGCCAAGUUCAGACAAAAGAAACUGCUAACUAAGACGUGCCUCCACAAAACCAGCGACAACCACCACAGAGGCAAAGCACUCAAACCAGGUGCUAGGGCUUGCUUAGAAUUCCAUAGAGAGCGAGGAAGAAGACGUAGCAUGUCGUCAAGAACAGAAUACCGAAGUGGUGGUUGCAUGUAAACCUCACGUAGCUCCCUAUUAACAAAGGCAUUCUUAGCAUCAAGCCGGGCCACAACAAAAAGUGUGUGAAUAGUGGUCAUAUGGUUCACAGAAGCAAAAAAGUCUUAUCGGAAUCGAGACCGUGCUCCUGUUGAAAGCCAUGAGACACUAGAUGAGCUUUGUAAUGCUCAAUAGAACCAUCUGAGCGAGUCUUUAACCUUGUAGACCCUUUAUAAGUGAUGGGAUGAAGACGAGGAGGAAGAGAAACAAGAUCCCACAUGUUGGUGCGCUCAAGUACAUCAACCUCCUCUGCCAUUGCAACGUACCGGGAUGAACACCAUCAUGAUAAGAAGCCGACUCAAGAACAGUAGCGCUAGCGCUUGUAAGACCAUGGCGGUCAACAUGUGGAAGGCGAACGGGCACACAAGCCAUAAGUAGGCUGAGAUGGGGAAGAUGGCAUAUCAGUAGACACAUCUAUAACACAUGAAUGACAUGUAUAAAGUGUUGUAAAGAUGAAAGAAUGCGAGCAGGAAUCAUCUGGGCAAUCUCGGGUGAUUGUGACAAGGAAGUCACUGGUGAUGAAGGUGUUGAAUUAUGUGACAAGCGACGUGUGGAAAUCAUAAGAGAUGAUGUUGGAUUUGUAAGAAUUAAAGAAGCAUGAGCAGUAUGAUGAAUGGAUAAGGGCUCAGCAGGAGUGUCAGGAAAAGUCAUGAAAGAUAUAUCCUCCAUUGAAAAGGUUAAGGAAGAUGGACGCGAGUAGAAUGGACUAGACUCAUCAAGUCACAUCUCGAGAAAUAGGCAUCGGACGAUGAACAUGAUCACAACAGAGAGAUCCCUUAUGCUCAUCGUUGUAUCCUAUGACGACACACUCAACACGCCGAGCAGUCAGUUUGGUGCCUUCACAAGGGGCAAGGACAUAGCAAACAAAACCAAAUAAUUGAAGCGCCGAUAAUCAAGAAAUGAUCACACUUGAAAGGAACGCUACCCUAUGGAGCUCUGGAUGGCUGAAGGUUGAUGAGCUAGAUGGAGUGGUGACAGACUUGGCUCGAAAGUGCGGCGGAAGAGAGGCCAUCAACGCACGAGCUGUCUCAAGAAGGUAAGGAUGCUCGUGACACCAUUUUGAGCAUGAGCACCAGGAAAAGAGAUCUGAGCCAGGACUCCAUGCAAGAGCUUGGAGAUAUACUCUCCAACAGAGUCAUCACAUAACACAGUAGGUGUUGAGAACUAAAUGUGAACCAUGCCAGCAAAACGCUUAUGUAUAGAUAAGACCUCACUACGAGAAGAAUAAAGUAUAUCCAGGUGUGUGGAGAGAAAUCAUCUAUAAAGAUAAUAUACUAGCGAUGACCUCGAGGCGAUGAUGCCAUUGCUGAAAAUAACUGGUAAACAAGGCAACAAUGGCGAAGAGAUUGGCGGUAGUGGCAGCAGAUGGAUUUGGUCUAGCAUCCCACGUGCGUGUGCACUCUUCGUUCCUCGUUGAUCCGGCUUGGUGUUCUUGUCCUGUUUGCGGGUUUUGUGUCACGCACUUGAUUAAGCAUCCCACGUUCUCCUAAUGUGCGCCCUUGGCCUUGACGAUAGGUAGCGCCGUGUUCUCGGGCAUGUCCCGUGGGUAAAAUCCAGGUAUGCACCAAUUGUCCGAGCUCCUGCUCACCAUUGGUGGUGCUCAAGCGUGCGAUUAUGGUGUCGCCCAGCAAGGGAACACGGGAUGUGGGAUCGAGACAACACACAUAGCAACCUGCCACCAGGCAAAGGAUGCCCAUCCGGACUUUUACAGGGAGCGGAGGUGGACGCAAAGGUGGAUGUUGAGCACCAUAGGAGUCUAAACAGUGCGCUCAUCAGUAAGAGCAUCACGAGUAAGAAGAUCAUGGAUAUACUUCCCUUAGGAAAUAAAAAAGUCAGAGGUAGAAGAAACCUCAAUCUCAAGGAAGUAGUGACAAAGACCAAGAUCAGACAUAAGAAACUCACAAUGACGAGCCUUCACAAAGGCAAUGUACUUGAGAGUCGUCGCCGGUGAUGAUUGACAUAUAGAAGUAGUGUUCAACCACGAGUUGAAUGGUGAAGCGGCAUAGUAGUAGGGGAAGACAUGGUGGGAUGGGUGGACGAGGGUAAUACUUGAAUGAUAGAUGUAUUGAGGAAAUUGAGGAAAGA